GUAUAACAAUGCUGGCCUGCGAAAGGCUUGUUGACGGGGGCUCAGGCCCCCGGGAAGGAGGGUCUGAGUCUCGCCUCCAGGGGCGCCGCUGAAGCAGCAGAGUUGACAGCGGAGGUGAGAAGAUGAGCAAGAGGCAGCCGGAGGAGACUCACAGGAGGGGUGGUCGCCUGGCCAGGUGGGAGGAUGGAGAGCAGACACACAUGAGGUAGAGCGGGGAUCGAAUCAGGGGCCAAGGUGACAGACAGGACGUGGAAGGAGAGGGAGCAGAGCACCCGCUGUGCCCCAGCACCCCAGCCAUGGUCAUGGAGAAGGCCUCUGAAGAGCCACAACUGGCCGCAUCGUGGCUCACAUCUUUGCACGGUGGGGCCCUCAAAGGUCUCCGAGAGGAAGCAGCUCACGUCCUAUUUCUGGGGGCAUGCCUGCUGUGUUGGGAUCCAAGAACAAAACGCGGGGGAGCCAAGGAGGGAAGAAGCUGAAGAGGGGGCUCAGAGCCGGCUCUCUGACCCCCCGCCAUGGCCCCCCAACCCCAAGAUGCCUCUCCAGCGAGGACGUUCUCGCUUACUUCCUGCUCCCAGAAGCCUGCCUGGCCUCCCCCUGGGGGCCUGGCUCUCCCACAUGGGAACUGAAAGCAGCUGGCACCGGCCCCACCUCCAUGGGUUUCAAGUCCGAGGCGAGAGCUGAGGCCCCUGGAGCCGCAGAUGCCCGCACGCCCUGAACACAGCCUUUUCUCCUCCAUGAAGCCACAGCUGCGGGGUCGUCGGCGCUCGUGGACACUCGAAGAGCUUUCCAAAGCAGAGGAGGAACAGCACCCACCCUGCCCCAUGUCCAUAAAACAAGACGCCUACAGUAGGGGAAAUUCACAAACACCAGGACAUCCCAGCCUUUCCAGAAAGUUGGGUUGCCCUCAUUCAGGGGUUCCAGAGGCCCAAGGAGUGGGAAAUCUCACCCACUAGCUGGUGCCCAGACAGAAUCAGAAGCCAAGGGCAUCCUGGGGGAGGCUGGGGGAAGACGUUGUCUGGAGGCCUGGCUGGGGGAGCCCAUCAGUCAGCACCCUAGUGAGAGGCCAGUCUUGGGUGAGGAGCAGGAAAGGAGAGAGGAAUGCUGUUGCUCCUUUCCCACUGCUGUGUGUGCGGCCCCUGCGCGCCCUCCCGGAGCCCACUCUCUGUGGGGCGGAGACAGUCAAGACUCAGCCCCCUGGUCAGGUGCCUUUCUGUGGCAAAUCCCUGGUCCCAUCUCUAACAGCUGCAGACACCUACAAUGGGGCAGCUCUGACUGGGAGUACAGAGCCUGAGUGUGGCUUUACUAAAUCCACACUUUCUUCUGCCAACAUCAGUGCAGCACGCACCGGCCAGCCUCUUCUGCCCAGGACCUUCCUUUCCUAUAAUCAUCAGAAGAACCCAAGAAGGGGAUGAAAUUUUCCCCAUCGUGCGGAUAAGCAGAUGAGGCUCACCUAAUGUGUUCCCAAAAACUUAUGAUGUCAGAAAUGGCGGAAUAAGAAUAAAUAUGUCAAUAAAGAAAUAAGGGCAGAAAGUCAGCAAGAAUAUGAUUCCUAAAACUAGGCUCCCGUGUUGGCACUGAGCUCCCUAGCAGCCAAAGCAAAAACAGAUAUGCAGUCUAUUUUAAGAUUUACAGUCCACGGAAUGGAGCCUUGUCAGGGUCUCAGGAGAAGCCAGAGGCUGUAACUUGCCUGUGGUCCCCCAGCCAAGGAAUGCAGGGCUGGAAUGGAGAUCUCCAUCGAGGAGCCCCAGGCACGUGUCAGCUGCUUUGUUAAAAGCCUCUACACUGUGUAAGGCUUUGCAUCAGCACAAGCAAGUCCCAUAAAAACCUCCUACUCCUACACGGCCCCAGGCUACCCUCCCAUCACCGGGAGAGCAGCAUCCCAGCUGUUGGCUGCAGACCACGUGUGUGGACAUUUCCAGGUGGGGUCAGAAAAAGGAAAAGGUUGUGCUGGGGAUUCCAUGCCAAGACUCAGGGUUCCUUGGCAGCCACUUGACUCUGUGGGGCAGCCGGGGGAAUGAGGCGGCUUAGCUCAAGCCUAUUGCUGUCUACCCUGCUUUGGGGACUUUGCCGCAGGAAAUGACCCCCUAAAGUGAGGGGAAAAAAAUCACUGGCCACAAAAUGAGAGAGCAGUAUGGCUCACCUCAGAAGAAUCAGAAAAUUCUCACAGCCCAGCCCUGCAGGUGCCAAGGAAACCCUGGAUUUGCAGCUGGAGCGGGGCUCUCAGAUGUGGCUCACACGUGCCAUGUGAGGUGGGAGGAUGUGUGCUCAAGAAGGUCAAGGGAAAAGAGCAACACAGCAGUGGGGGCACAACGGUACAGCCCCCGAGCCCUGGGAGUAAACUGUCUCCUCCCCAGCUGAUCCCAGUCCAAACUGAACUUAUCGCCCCACCCUCAUGACCCCAAUCCGCUCCUCUUCCCACAGAGACUUCCAUUCUCAUUUCCCCCAGGAUAAUAGAACCCCUGAUUUUUGCUGGGCACAUGGCCACUCAGAAUAAAAACUACAUUUCCCAGUCUUCCUUGCAGCCAAGUGUGGUCAUGUGACUAAUUCUGGCCAGUGGGAUGUGAGCAAAAGUGCACUCCAUGUUCCACUUCCAGGUCAUGCUCUUAAAGGGGCGGUGUGGGUCUGUCCGUUUCCUGUCCUCUUCCCAUCACCCUCAGGAACACAGACAUGGUGGGAGCCACCUUGGACCAUGCAGGUGAGGGCAAGAUGCCAGGGGUGGCGAGGGCCGUGACAGCUUCACAGAGCACAGCUGGCCCCGUAACCUGGACCUCUAUGGGAGAGAAAUAAAUG